rnacentral:rRNA from 1 species
ACGUACACUCCUACGGGAGGCAGCAGUAGGGAAUCUUCCACAAUGGGUGCAAACCUGAUGGAGCAAUGCCGCGUGAGUGAAGAAGGUCUUCGGAUCGUAAAGCUCUGUUGUUAGAGAAGAACACGUGCUAGGUAACUACUAGCGCCUUGACGGUAUCUAACCAGAAAGUCACGGCUAACUACGUGCCAGCAGCCGCGGUAAUACGUAGGUGACAAGCGUUGUCCGGAUUUAUUGGGCGUAAAGGGAGCGCAGGCGGUCUGUUUAGUCUAAUGUGAAAGCCCACGGCUUAACCGUGGAACGGCAUUGGAAACUGACAGACUUGAAUGUAGAAGAGGAAAAUGGAAUUCCAAGUGUAGCGGUGGAAUGCGUAGAUAUUUGGAGGAACACCAGUGGCGAAGGCGAUUUUCUGGUCUAACAUUGACGCUGAGGCUCGAAAGCGUGGGGAGCGAACAGGAUUAGAAACCCUAGUAGUCC